UACAGAGACUGCAAGCGUUAUUCGGAUUCACUGGGCGUAAAGGGUGCGCAGGUGGCCGUGUGUGUGGGGCGUGAAAGCCCGGGGCUUAACCCCGGAAUUGCACCUCAAACUACAUGGCUAGAGCAUUGGAGAGGGUAGCGGAAUUCACGGUGUAGCAGUGAAAUGCGUAGAUAUCGUGAGGAACACCAGAGGCGAAGGCGGCUACCUGGACAAUUGCUGACACUCAGGCACGAAAGCGUGGGGAGCAAAAGGG
rnacentral:rRNA from 1 species